rnacentral:lncRNA from 10 species
UGUGUAAUAAGUGCUUAGUUAAGAUGGAAAAGGCAUUAAAUUUGUGGGUAGAAGACAUAAUAGAAAUGUAUUCCAGUUUAUAGCAAUUGGGUUCAGUACUGUCUGCAGUUUCAGGCAUCCACUGGAGGUCUUGGAACAAGUUCCUUGUGGAUAAGGGGCAGGGAGGACUACCGUACAUGUUAUAAAUGUAUGAUAAAUUAUAUAGAACAUAAAGAAAAGGUCUUAGGAAAUUCACAAGAAAAAACACAUGCCGCUGACUUGGUAGGUAGACAACUAGAUAUGUACCCUCUUCCCUUUUCUGUUCCUUCUUGUGAUAUUUCAGUUGGGACAUGGCUGUUCACUCACAGUGAGAAAGAACAUCAAAGAACAGAAUUAAGACUUGGCAAGAAACCUGUCCACGACAAAAGGCAGACAAUGUAAGUCAAGCUCAGCUGAGAACAAAGGACUGGUGAUGCAGGUGAGGUUUGGCAUCUGUACUAAUUAGGAUGGG